ACGAGAAUAUUCCGCAAUGGACGAAAGUCUGACGGAGCGACGCCGCGUGAUGGAUGAAGUGCCUUGGUACGUAAACAUCUUUUAUCGGGGACGAAGUUUAUUGACGGUACCCGAUGAAUAAGGAGCUCCUAACUCUGUGCCAGCAGGAGCGGUAAUACAGAGGCUCCAAGCAUUACCCGGAAUCACUGGGCGUAAAGGGUGUCUAGGCGGCCAUAUUAGUCUCUCGUUAAAUGUCCGAGCUCAACUUGGUCACUGCGAGGGAAACGGUAUGGCUCGAGGGCGUGAGAGGUGCAUGGAACUCAUGGUGGAGGGGUGAAAUCCGUUGAUAUCAUGGGGAACACCAAAGGCGAAGGCAAUGCACUGGUACGUUCCUGACGCUCAAACACGAAAGCCAGGGUAGCGAAUGGGAUUAGAUACCCAUGUAGUCCCUGAGCGGGCUGGCAAGGCGCAU
rnacentral:rRNA from 1 species